GGGGGCGGCUCGGCGGAACCAGCCCCGGCUGGGCAGCAGCGGGGACGCCGGGGGCCGGGGCCAGGGCUUUCCGGGCUUCGGUGAGGCCGCCGUGGGCCCCAUCUUCCGGCGGUCGCCUGAGUUUGUGGUGAUUGUUGCUGCCGCCGCCACCGCCCCGGCUGCCAUCUCCUCCUCCUGGGCCGUCGCCUCCUCCUCUUCCUCCUCCUCCUGGGCCGGGCUGAUCCCCUCCCCGCUGCCGCCUCCUCCUGGGCUGGGCCCGCGGUGUCUCGUCCCCUCGCGGAGCCGCUCCUGCCGCCGCCGCUGCCGCCUCCUCAUUCAUCCUCGUGCACCAUAGGCGGCACAGGCACCAAGAUGUCCAACCGAGUGGUCUGCCGAGAAGCCAGUCACGCCGGGAGCUGGUACACAGCCUCAGGACCGCAGCUGAAUGCACAGCUAGAAGGUUGGCUUUCACAAGUACAGUCUACAAAAAGACCUGCUAGAGCCAUUAUUGCCCCCCAUGCAGGAUAUACGUACUGUGGGUCUUGUGCUGCCCAUGCUUAUAAACAAGUGGAUCCGUCUAUUACCCGGAGAAUUUUCAUCCUUGGGCCUUCUCAUCAUGUGCCCCUCUCUCGAUGUGCACUUUCCAGUGUGGAUAUAUAUAGGACACCUCUGUAUGACCUUCGUAUUGACCAAAAGAUUUACGGAGAACUAUGGAAGACAGGAAUGUUUGAACGCAUGUCUCUGCAGACAGAUGAAGAUGAACACAGUAUUGAAAUGCAUUUGCCUUAUACAGCUAAAGCCAUGGAAAGCCAUAAGGAUGAGUUUACCAUUAUUCCUGUACUGGUUGGAGCUCUGAGUGAGUCAAAAGAACAGGAAUUCGGAAAACUCUUCAGUAAAUAUCUAGCGGAUCCUAGUAAUCUCUUUGUGGUUUCUUCUGAUUUCUGCCAUUGGGAAAGCGUGCUCUGGAAUGGAUUCACAAAUGAGCUACCCUCCUUCCCUCAAAGAGUAAGGUUUCUGCUUUACAGGAUUUUUUUCUUGGGUUAUUUUUCCUCUCAUCUUUUGAAUUUGAAAAGAACUGAGGGAAGGCACCUGAAGAAACUACUGACAUACUCACUAGGGGAGUUCCAAAGCUUGUGCUGCCCCUAGGGGCAGUGUCAAUGGCUCUUAAAGCUAGAAAGCUCAUACUUGGAGUUGAAACAGGGGCUCAAAGAAUCCAUUUUCCCAGUGUACCUUCUGAAAGGAUAAGUUUCAGGUCAAAGGUUCCGUUACAGUUACUAUGAUGAAUCCCAGGGGGAGAUUUAUAGAUCCAUUGAACAUCUAGAUAAAAUGGGUAUGAGUAUUAUAGAACAAUUAGACCCUGUAUCUUUUAGCAAUUACUUGAAGAAAUACCAUAAUACUAUAUGUGGAAGACAUCCCAUUGGGGUGUUAUUAAAUGCUAUCACAGAGCUCCAGAAGAAUGGAAUGAAUAUGAGUUUUUCGUUUUUGAAUUAUGCCCAGUCGAGCCAGUGUAGAAACUGGCAAGACAGUUCAGUGAGUUAUGCAGCUGGAGCACUCACGGUCCACUGAAGCUCUGAAUCCUCAGGGAUGCCACCUGCACAUUCUCAUACUCUGUCCGGGGUCCCAGCCUAGCCUUUACCACGAUACUGGUCCUGGUUUGGGGGGAUUCUGAAACCUCAAACUAAUAGAACUUUCUUCUCUUUUUUUCUAGUAGGUGUAGUCCUUCCUUAAUUUCAACUCAUUAAAAAAUGCUUUAUAGUUUAGGGCAGUGGAAGGAAGGCUGGCAUCAAAAUAUUUUGAUCAAAAAAGAUGACAAUGUAAAGGCUCAGUUGUGGCAGACAGUUUUUUGAAAGUAACUUGUAAAGCAUUUACCAUAUCCUAAAUUUGCACUCUUUGCAGACUUGUGCACAUAUAUUCCGCUUUCAGAAUAGUUUUGCAAAUUGUACACAAACAAACAAAAAGGUGGAAGCUUUUUAAUAAAGAAAUUGCAUUUAUAAAUGAUCUGUAUUAGAAUAUAAUAAAUCUCCAGUUAUAGUCAAUUACUACCCAUGUUGUACAACAGAUACCUUCUAUUUUAGUUGCUAAUAAAGGGCUACACAACUCAAAA